CCUACGGGAGGCAGCAGUGAGGAAUAUUGGUCAAUGGACGAGAGUCUGAACCAGCCAAGUAGCGUGAAGGAUGACUGCCCUAUGGGUUGUAAACUUCUUUUAUAAAGGAAUAAAACGAGGCACGUGUGCCUUUUUGCAUGUACCUUAUGAAUAAGGAUCGGCUAACUCCGUGCCAGCAGCCGCGGUAAUACGGAGGAUCCGAGCGUUAUCCGGAUUUAUUGGGUUUAAAGGGAGCGUAGAUGGGUUGUUAAGUCAGUUGUGAAAGUUUGCGGCUCAACCGUAAAAUUGCAAUUGAUACUGGGAGUCUUGAGUACAGUUGAGGUAAGCGGAAUUCGUGGUGUAGCGGUGAAAUGCUUAGAUAUCACGAAGAACCCCGAUUGCGAAGGCAGCUUACUAAACUGUGACUGACAUUGAUGCUCGAAAGUGUGGGUAUCAAACAGGAUUAGAUACCCUUGUAGUC
rnacentral:rRNA from 1 species